rnacentral:misc_RNA from 1 species
UCGCAGGAAUACCCCACUAUGCUGGUAUCAA